rnacentral:rRNA from 1 species
AGAGUUUGAUCCUGGCUCAGGAUGAACGCUAGCUACAGGCUUAACACAUGCAAGUCGAGGGGCAUCGCGGGUAGUAAUAUCUGGCGGCGACCGGCGUACGGGUGCGUAACACGUGUGUAAUCUGCCUGCAACCGGGGGAUAACCCGUUGAAAGACGGACUAAUACCGCAUAAUACAGGGAUACCGCAUGGUAAUAUUUGUUAAAGAUUUAUUGGUUGCAGAUGAGCACGCGCAACAUUAGAUAGUUGGUGAGGUAACGGCUCACCAAGUCUUCGAUGUUUAGGGGUUCUGAGAGGAAGGUCCCCCACACUGGAACUGAGACACGGUCCAGACUCCUACGGGAGGCAGCAGUGAGGAAUAUUGGUCAAUGGACGAGAGUCUGAACCAGCCAAGUAGCGUGAAGGAAGACGGUUCUAUGGAUUGUAAACUUCUUUUGUAGAGGAAUAAAAGAUAUUACGUGUUAAUAUAUUGUAUGUACUUUACGAAUAAGCAUCGGCUAACUCCGUGCCAGCAGCCGCGGUAAUACGGAGGAUGCGAGCGUUAUCCGGAUUUAUUGGGUUUAAAGGGUGCGCAGGCUGGUAGAUCAGUCAGCGGUGAAAUUUUGCAGCUUAACUGUAACAUUGCCGUUGAAACUGUUUAUCUUGAGUGCAAAUGAGGUAUGCGGAAUGUGUAGUGUAGCGGUGAAAUGCUUAGAUAUUACACAGAACACCGAUUGCGAAGGCAGCAUACUGGGAUGCAACUGACGCUGAGGCACGAAAGUGCGGGUAUCAAACAGGAUUAGAUACCCUGGUAGUCCGCACAGUAAACGAUGAUUACUGACUGUUUGCGAUAUAUUGUAAGCGGUUAAGCGAAAGCGUUAAGUAAUCCACCUGGGGAGUACGUCGGCAACGAUGAAAACUCAAAUGAAUUGACGGAAG